rnacentral:rRNA from 1 species
GACGAACGCUGGCGGCGUGCUUAACACAUGCCAGUCGAACGAUGAAGAAGGGAGACGCGAACUUCGGUUCAAGUUUCACUUGGGAUUAUUGGCAGACGGGUGAGUAACGCGUGAGCAACCUACCUCUUACAAAGGGAUAGCUUCGGGAACCCGAGAUUAAUACCAUUUGACACAUUCAUAAGGCAUCUUAAGAAUGUUAAAGCUACGGCGGUAAGGGAUGGGCUCGCGUCCCAUUAGCUAGUUGGUGAGGUAACGGCCCACCAAGGGGACGAUGUGUAACCGGGAUGGGAGCGUGGACCGUAACACUGGAGGUGGGACCCGGUCCGAACUCCUAGGGAAGGCAGCAGGUCGGAAUGUUGCACAACGGAGGGAAGUAUGAUGCAUUGAGGUCGCGAGAGCGAUGAAGGAAUUCAGAACGUAAAGCUCUGUUCAAUGGGAAGAAAAGGACGGUACCUAAGGAGAAAGCCCCGGCUAAAUACGUG